AUGGCUAUACGGAUAGAUAGAGCAUCCCGCUGCCAGCGGGACGGUCCCAGGUUCGAAUCCUGGU
rnacentral:tRNA from 1 species